AUAAGCCAAAACCUCCAGCGCCAGAGCCAUACACAGAGAAGCAAAUAGAAUAUGCUACUAGUUUUCUGAACACACCAUCGCAGUAUGAGUUACACGAGAAGAAGGAUGACUAUACACGCACUCUUGCGAAGGUAAUUGACCAAAAGAAGGAUGAAAAGGCUAAGGAGAAGGACAUUGCUGGCACGAGCAAAUCAUCAGCUAGAAGUGCAGAUGAGAAAAGGUCAAGUUCAACAAGUGCACCCCUCAAGGCCAAGCAAACGACAAAAGGCAAAAAGAGAAAGGAAGUUCCCCUCCUCGGUGCUCAGCCCAAACAAUCGAUCCCACCACUCAAAGUGUUUAAUGUUCCCAAGGUAUACCAGGAACAUGGUGGUUUCGAUAUGGAAGAAGCUGCUAGCCUAGCGGCUGCCUGUAAAGUUUCCGUGGAGGAAUUGCUACUUGCAGCAGAUGCUGCACUACCCACUGCUGAUAUAGCUCCUAAAUUUGUCUACGGGGCCGACUUGGUCAGCAGAGAGCAGCUGCAUAAACUACCAACACAUAUGCGGAAUUUGCAUCAGUGGUACCUUGAUGCAUGCAAGGAGAAAAAAAAUGUACAUCGUGGCGAGUAUACCAUGGGAAUAUUACUACCGAAAGGAGGAGAUCCAUAUUGAGAUGAAUGAACUCUGGCAGUUAUUCAAUCUAGAAGCCCUCGACAAAUCUCUCAUGAGUUGCUAUUGCUUACUGAAGAUCAGUGAGUGCAAAAGUAAUAAUAUUAUCAAUGUUGGGUUUGUUGACCCAGAUAAAAUACAUGUUGAAACGGUGAAGCAUAAACGCGAAGAAACGGGGGGAAACCUACUAAGGUUUUUGGGGCAGCAAUAUUUCUGUGAUUCAAUAUUGUUUCCUUACAACUACGACUUCCACUGGAUUCUACUAGACAUUCAACCUGAUAAGGGAAUAGUUGAAGUAAAAGACCCACUGAGUAGAGGCC